ACCAUCCUUCUCUUGGGGUGAGCGACUGUUCAAUGAACGCAUAGUGAGGGCAGUCCUGCUGACACCAAUCACAACACUCACGCAUCACUAGUGUGCAAACACUGGCAAUGGUGCAAUUUUUGGAACC